GACGAACGCUGGCGGCGUGCUUAACACAUGCAAGUCGAGCGGAAAGGCCACUUCGGUGGUACUCGAGCGGCGAACGGGUGGGUAACACGUGAGUAAUCUGCCCCUCACUUUGGGAUAGCCACCGGAAACGGUGAUUAAUACCGGAUAUGACCAUAUGUCGCAUGGCGUGUGGUGGAAAGUUUUUCGGUGAGGGAUGUGCUCGCGGCCUAUCAGCUUGAUGGUGAGGUAAUGGCUCACCAUGGCUUCGACGGGUAGCCGGCCUGAGAGGGUGACCGGUCACACUGGGACUGAGAAACGGCCCAGACUCCUACGGGAGGCAGCAGUGGGGAAUAUUGGACAAUGGGCGGAAGCCUGAUCCAGCAACGCCGCGUGAGGGAUGACGGCCUUCGGGUUGUAAACCUCUUUCAGUACCGACGAAGCGCAAGUGACGGUAGGUACAGAAGAAGCACCGGCCAACUACGUG
rnacentral:rRNA from 1 species